GACGAACGCUGGCGGCGUGCUUAACACAUGCAAGUCGAACGGAAAGGCCCUGCUUGUGUGGGGUGCUCGAGUGGCGAACGGGUGAGUAACACGUGAGUAACCUGCCCUUGACUUUGGGAUAACUUCAGGAAACUGGGGCUAAUACCGGAUAGGAGCUCCUGCUGCAUGGGGGGGGUUGGAAAGUUUCGGCGGUUGGGGGUGGACUCGUGGCUUAUCAGCUUGUUGGUGGGGUAGUGGCUUACCAAGGCUUUGACGGGUAGCCGGCCUGGGAGGGUGACCGGCCACAUUGGGCCUGCGAUACGGCCCAGUCUCCUACGGGGGGCAGCAGUGGGGAAUCUUGCCCAAUGGGCGGACGCCUGAUGCAGCAACGCCGCGUUCGGGAUGACGGCCUUCGGGUUGUAAACCGCUUUCGCCUGUGACGAAGCGUGAGUGACGGUAAUGGGUAAAGAAGCACCGGCUAACUACGUG
rnacentral:rRNA from 1 species